UAGGGAAUCUUCCGCAAUGGACGCAAGUCUGACGGAGCAACGCCGCGUGAGUGAAGAAGGAUUUCGGUUCGUAAAACUCUUUUGUUAGAGAAGAACAGCGCAUAGAGUAACUGUUAUGCGUGUGACGGUAUCUAACCAGAAAGCCACGGCUAACUACGUGCCAGCAGCCGCGGUAAUACGUAGGUGGCAAGCGUUGUCCGGAUUUAUUGGGCGUAAAGCGAGCGCAGGCGGUCAAUUAAGUCUGAUGGGAAAGCCCCCGGCUCAACCGGGGAGGGUCAUUGGAACCUGGUUGACUUGAGUGCAGAAGAGGAGAGUGGAAUUCAAUGUGUAGCGGUGAAAUGCGUAGAUAUAUGGAGGAACACCAGUGGCGAAGGCGACUCUCUGGUCUGUAACUGACGCGGAGGCUCGAAAGCGUGGGUAGCAAACAGG
rnacentral:rRNA from 1 species